rnacentral:rRNA from 1 species
UUCGUGACUGGGGUGAAGUCGUAACAAGGUAGCCGUAUCGGAAGGUGCGGCUGGAUCACCUCCUUUCUGG